CCUACGGGAGGCAGCAGUGGGGAAUCUUGCGCAAUGGGCGAAAGCCUGACGCAGCAACGCCGUGUGCGGGAAGAAGGCUCUCGGGUUGUAAACCGCUUUCAGCAGGAACGAAAAUGACGGUACUUGCAGAAGAAGGUGCGGCCAACUACGUGCCAGCAGCCGCGGUGACACGUAGGCACCAAGCGUUGUCCGGAUUUAUUGGGCGUAAAGAGCUCGUAGGCGGUUCGGUAAGUCAGGUGUGAAAACUUUGGGCUCAACCCAAAGCCUGCAUCUGAUACUGCUGUGACUAGAGUUCGGUAGGGGAGCGGGGAAUUCCUAGUGUAGCGGUGAAAUGCGCAGAUAUUAGGAGGAACACCGGUGGCGAAGGCGCCGCUCUGGGCCGAAACUGACGCUGAGGAGCGAAAGCGUGGGUAGCAAACAGGAUUAGAUACCCUGGUAGUCCACGCCGUAAACGUUGGGCACUAGGUGUGGGUCUCAACCAACGAGANCGCGCCGUCGCUACGCAUAAGUAGCCCGCCGUGGGAGGUACGGCCGCGAACGGUUAAAACCGUACAAAUAGAAUUAGACGG
rnacentral:rRNA from 1 species